GUCGUUACUCACUCAUCAGUCGGUAUGGUGUGGCUGCUUCAGACGUGGGGUCCAGACAAACAUUUAACAUGUGGUAAAGGGAAUCUACGUGGAAUCUUCCGGUUUAACUGAGGGGACUGAGAGCUAAACUCGGCUGUAAAGCUUCCUAACUGUCAGAACUCGGCGGUGAUUGACCGCCAGUGGAACGACAGCGUGAUGGAGUCAAGUGUACACGCGUCUAAUUAGCAGAAAAGAGCUCGUUAUAUAAUCCAAUCAACAGCUGAAGAGAGGAUGAGUCACUGGCAACAAACAUGGAGUCUUCGUCUUCAUCACCAUCUUCACCUGCUGUGUGGAUUUGAUGGGAGGAAAAAGAUCAAAUUUGCUGUAAACAAGAGGACCCUUUCCAACCAUCUGGACCCUAACUCCUCUGCAGCAGCCUCACUAGGCCAUGUGGUCCCCCAAGGCUCCGUUCUAGGCCCCAUUCUGUUUUCUCUCCAUGCUUCCCUUGGGGUCCUUUUCUGAUUACUACAGGAAUUCUUUCCUUUGCAGAUGACUUGCAAGUUUACCUGUCUAUACAGAGUCCAUGAAUGCCUUGUUAAGUUGUCCCAAAGAAACCAAGGCAGCUUUUAUUCAGCUGCUGA